UCUCUCUUAGGGUCGCACCUGGAGAGUUUCCAGUACUCUACCAGUCUUGACUAUGGGAGGGAGAGUCAAGCAGAGGCCUACUCAUUCCUAGCUUGGGCAGUGGCUAGCGAGUGGCGGGCAAUCUGCUACAAGU